UCGAUAUUGUAAACAGGCGCCCCUGCGCUCGCGAGCUGAACUUUAGACUUUUGCUGGAAAGUUUUCAAAGCGAGCAGCGAUUUAUCCAUGUGUCAGCAUUUUCUGUGCGAUGUGAUUUAGUGACACUAUUCGAGAACAGUUUCCUGCUAACCGAACAAAAUGUCACUGCUUGUGGACUGUGUGAAAUUCAUCGAAACGUACCGAGGCCGCGACAAGAUCAUCCGGCUAUGUUCUUACGCAGCAAUGUUAGUCGGUGGGGACAACACGUCUCCCAUCUCCGAGAAGGCACGUGUGAUCGGUCGCGAGUUGAGCGCAUGCAGGGUGAUACUUCGCCUGUUCGAUGACCUGCCAAUGCUAGCGUAUAACCUUCAGUACGGACUUGGCAGCAAGGAGAAGAACCCGUGCCUACGUGUGUGUGAACUAGGCUCGAACUUGGUCAACCAGCUGUACUACCCCAUAGAGCACAUUGCCUGGUGUGCCGACAAGCAGCUCCUCACCAUCAAGUCGGGCAGCUUCUGGCUGGCGGGACUCAUCCUGUGGGCCAUCUCCCUCACGCUGCAAGCCGUCAAGUGCUUGCUGACCAUUGCCAGGUUAAAGCGUUCAGCCAACAGACUGAAGAAACAGAGGUAUCUUGAUGGGCAAGACCAAUAUUAUGAGAACUCCGAACAGCGGGAAGAGUUGUGGUUGCAGCUGCAUGGUGUGCAGGCUGACAUCUUCAGCCAGUACCUGCUCCUGCUUCAGUCGAUGGCCGACCUCCUCAACGCCAUCAACUGGCUGCCCAAGGGAUGGCUGUGGGGGGGGCGCUUUGGUGCUGCCAAGUCGGGGCUGUUCGGCCUCGCCUCCUCUCUCAUCAUGCUGUUCCGACACUGGUAUUCCCGGUCCUGAUGACUGCUCGUCCUUAUCUAGCAGAGAUGCUACCAUUACAAUAUUGAAGCACAUUCCACGAAUACGAUUAUGUGAAAUAUAUUACGAAUUAUGUGAAAAAACAUUUCCUGUAAUUAAAACCUACAGUCGUUUUAAUAAUAAUUAUUUAUAAUGUUAUUAACCAAUUAAUAGUAUAUUUUUCUGUUUUGGCAUAGAAAGGUUUACAUAUUUCAAGGAGUUUUAAUAUGUGAUGCAAAAUAUUAUUUUUUUCUCAGCAGUAUUGUUUAGUCAGAAAUGCUACCAAUGAUAACCUAUUACUGAUUCUAGAUACCCAUUAAUAAUUCAAGAUAUUACUUAUUGCUUUAUAUUGGUGUUGACAUCUCGGCAUUAUGUUGUCCCAACACUGCUAUGCCAGGUCGUGAGAACAGAGACCAUAUGACAGACGGUGUGUUACAUGUAUAUCGUCUCUGGUGAGAAGUGCUCUGCUUACAGAAUCAGGGGCAGGUAACUCCGGGCCUUCAGGAAAGAUCCUGACAUUCAGACUUUGUUACUCACAACGCAUGUCUUCCAUUAAAACAUGUGGGAAAGUUUCCACUUUCAUUUGCAUGCUAUCAUGAUUAUAUACACCUGGAAAUUAAUUAAGCAUCCCCUGGUUUUUUUGCCAUGUGUGUCUAACAACAUGGUAUCACUCACACCAAGUCUAAAAUAUGAUGGAAAAAUAUACGCCAUGUUGAAGAUGAGACUCCCGACUAGCGAAAACACAGAGAAUGUUGACAAUGGUCAUUGUUUUAAUUAUGGGCAUGACACAGUGCCAGCAGUACUGUAAAUGAGACAGAAUGGGAACCAUAGUAACUAGGGAUUGGGAAAGUUGACUUUAGAUUGCAAAGUGGUUUAGGGCGCUGUAAAGGGAGACUAGUCAGAAUCAGUUGACUGUCUCCUACGUUUAAUUCAAGCUACAACUUUCAUUAUUUAUGAAUUCAUGUGCCUUUGUUAUGAAUAAUGUUAAGGGAGAAUAAUGUUAAGGGAGAAUAAUGUUAAGGGAGAAUAAUGUUAGGGGAGAAUAAUGUUAAGGGAGAACAAGGUUAAGGGAGAAUAAUGUUAAGGGAGAAUAAUGUUAAGGGAGAAUAAUGUUAAGGGAGAAUAAUGUUAAGGGAGAAUAAUGUUAAGGGAGAACAAGGUUAAGGGAGAAUAAUGUUAAGGGAGAAUAAUGUUAAGGGAGAAUAAUGUUAAGGGAGAACAAGGUUAAGGGAGAUUAAUGUUAAGGGAGAAAAAGGGUUAAGGGAGAACAAGGUUAAGGGAGAAUAAUGUUAAGGGAGAAUAAUGUUAAGGGAGAACAAGGUUAAGGGAGAUUAAUGUUAAGGGAGAACAAGGUUAAGGGAGAUUAAUGUUAAGGGAGAACAAGGUUAAGGGAGAUUAAUGUUAAGGGAGAACAAGGUUAAGGGAGAUUAAUGUUAAGGGAGAAUAAUGUUAAGGGAGAAUAAUGUUAAGGGAGAACAAGGUUAAGGGAGAAUAAUGUUAAGGAAGAAUAAUGUUAAGGGAGAAUAAUGUUAAGGGAGAAUAAUGUUAAGGGAGAACAAGGUUAAGGGAGAUUAAUGUUAAGGGAGAUUAAUGUUAAGGGAGAAUAAUGUUAAGGGAGAACAAGGUUAAGGGAGAUUAAUGUUAAGGGAGAAUAAUGUUAAGGGAGAACAAGGUUAAGGGAGAUUAAUGUUAAGGGAGAACAAGGUUAAGGGAGAAUAAUGUUAAGGGAGAAUAAUGUUAAGGGAGAACAAGGUUAAGGGAGAAUAAUGUUAAGGGAGAACAAGGUUAAGGGAGAAUAAUGUUAAGGGAGAAUAAUGUUAAGGGAGAACAAUGUUAAGGAAGAUCAAUGUUAAGGGAGAAUAAUGUUAAGGGAGAAUAAUGUUAAGGGAGAAUAAUGUUAAGGGAGAACAAGGUUAAGGGAGAAUAAUGUUAAGGGAGAAUAAUGUUAAGGGAGAUUAAUGUUAAGGGAGAAUAAUGUUAAGGGAGAACAAUGUUAAGGGAGAAUAAUGUUAGGGGAGAAUAAUGUUAAGGGAGAUUAAUGUUAAGGGAGAAUAAUGUUAAGGGAGAUUAAUGUUAAGGGAGAAUAAUGUUAAGGGAGAAUAAUGUUAGGGGAGAAUAAUGUUAAGGGAGAAUAAUGUUAAGGGAGAACAAGGUUAAGGGAGAAUAAUGUUAAGGAAGAAUAAUGUUAAGGGAGAAUAAUGUUAAGGGAGAUUAAUGUUAAGGGAGAUUAAUGUUAAGGGAGAACAAGGUUAAGGGAGAACAAGGUUAAGGGAGAUUAAUGUUAAGGAAGAAUAAUGUUAAGGGAGAACAAGGUUAAGGGAGAUUAAUGUUAAGGGAGAAUAAUGUUAAGGGAGAACAAUGUUAAGGGAGAUUAAUGUUAAGGGAGAAUAAUGUUAAGGGAGAUUAAUGUUAAGGGAGAACAAGGUUAAGGGAGAACAAGGUUAAGGGAGAUUAAUGUUAAGGAAGAAUAAUGUUAAGGGAGAACAAGGUUAAGGGAGAUUAAUGUUAAGGGAGAACAAGGUUAAGGGAGAUUAAUGUUAAGGGAGAACAAGGUUAAGGGAGAUUAAUGUUAAGGGAGAAUAAUGUUAAGGGAGAAUAAUGUUAAGGGAGAACAAGGUUAAGGGAGAACAAGGUUAAGGAAGAACAAUGUUAAGGGAGAACAAUGUUAAGGGAGAAUAAUGUUAAGGGAGAAUAAUGUUAAGGGAGAAUAAUGUUAAGGAAGAAUAAUGUUAAGGGAGAAUAAUGUUAAGGAAGAAUAAUGUUAGGGGAGAAUAAUGUUAAGGGAGAAUAAUGUUAAGGGAGAUUAAUGUUAAGGGAGAAUAAUGUUAAGGGAGAAUAAUGUUAAGGGAGAACAAGGUUAAGGGAGAUUAAUGUUAAGGGAGAAUAAUGUUAAGGGAGAACAAGGUUAAGGGAGAAUAAUGUUAAGGGAGAACAAUGUUAAGGGAGAAUAAUGUUAAGGGAGAACAAGGUUAAGGGAGAUUAAUGUUAAGGGAGAAUAAUGUUAAGGGAGACUAAUGUUAAGGGAGAACAAGGUUAAGGGAGAACAAGGUUAAGGAAGAACAAUGUUAAGGGAGAAUAAUGUUAAGGGAGAAUAAUGUUAAGGGAGAAUAAUGUUAAGGAAGAAUAAUGUUAAGGGAGAAUAAUGUUAAGGAAGAAUAAUGUUAGGGGAGAAUAAUGUUAAGGGAGAUUAAUGUUAAGGGAGAAUAAUGUUAAGGGAGAAUAAUGUUAAGGGAGAACAAGGUUAAGGGAGAUUAAUGUUAAGGGAGAAUAAUGUUAAGGGAGAACAAGGUUAAGGGAGAAUAAUGUUAAGGGAGAAUAAUGUUAAGGGAGAACAAGGUUAAGGGAGAAUAAUGUUAAGGAAGAAUAAUGUUAAGGGAGAAUAAUGUUAAGGGAGAUUAAUGUUAAGGAAGAAUAAUGUUAAGGGAGAACAAGGUUAAGGGAGAUUAAUGUUAAGGGAGAAUAAUGUUAAGGGAGAACAAGGUUAAGGGAGAUUAAUGUUAAGGGAGAAUAAUGUUAAGGGAGAACAAGGUUAAGGGAGAACAAGGUUAAGGGAGAUUAAUGUUAAGGGAGAAUAAUGUUAAGGGAGAACAAGGUUAAGGGAGGUUAAUGUUAAGGGAGAACAAGGUUAAGGGAGAAUAAUGUUAAGGGAGAAUAAUGUUAAGGGAGAAUAAUGUUAAGGGAGAACAAGGUUAAGGGAGAUUAAUGUUAAGGGAGAAUAAUGUUAAGGGAGAACAAGGUUAAGGGAGAAUAAUGUUAAGGGAGAACAAGGUUAAGGGAGAAUAAUGUUAAGGGAGAUUAAUGUUAAGGGAGAAUAAUGUUAAGGGAGAACAAUGUUAAGGGAGAAUAAUGUUAAGGGAGAAUAAUGUUAGGGGAGAAUAAUGUUAGGGGAGAAUAAUGUUAGGGGAGAAUAAUGUUAAGGGAGAAUAAUGUUAGGGGAGAAUAAUGUUAGGGGAGAAUAAUGUUAAGGGAGAAUAAUGUUAGGGGAGAUUAAUGUUAAGCGAGAAUAAUGUUAGGGGAGAAUAAUGUUAAGGGAGAAUAAUGUUAAGGGAGAAUAAUGUUAAGGGAGAAUAAUGUUAGGGGAGAACAAGGUUCGUACCAAUCUGCAGUCCUAGAUCCAAGUCAUUUAAUUCUUGUGUGUGUUUGCUUAAAGUUUAUUAAGUGCAUUGAAACCCUGUUAAUCCAGACACUGAUUAACAGAUGUCUGGAUUAAUGAAUUCUUUCGGAAAGAGUUAUGCCACUUUGUAUGUAUAUAACCAGUAAAUGUCCUGAAAGGUGAGUUUCCAGAUUACAGAGGUAUCACUGUAACAGCAGUCUUACAGUUACCGUCAUUACACAUGGCAGUUUUAUCGCAGUUUGGAAAAAAAUAAUGAUUGUGGGUAAAACUCUGUACUCUGUCAAUGCUCCAUUAUUUAUUUAAGCAGAUUGUUUCAAGAAAGACUUCCACAAAGACUCGGUGGAAUUGAAAGUGACGGAGAAGGAAACAAUGUCGAAAAUAAGCAGUAUUUGAUUGAGAAGUUGUGUAUGCAUGCAUCAUCAUCAUCAUCAUCAUCAUCAUCAUUGCCCUCCUCCUCUGUGCAGAGUUGUGUCCCUUGGGCUUGCUUGAAACAUGAUCUUGGGUUCAAAUCCUGGUUCGCCCUGAUUAUGUUUCCAGGUUUGUCAGCACCACGUUGCUUGUUGGUUCAACAAAGUUGUAAUUAAACAUCUGAGACCUGCAUCACUUCGGGCUUUCCUACCACAUUAAGCUGACACUCACUCAUUCAUUCGCAGGCUCGCUCGCUCACUCACUCACUCACUCACUCACUCACUCACUCACUCACUCACUCCCACACUCACUCACUCACUCACUCCCACACCCACCCACCCACCCACUCACCCACUCACUCCCUCACUCACUCACCAUCCUCCUCAUCAUAUCCCUGUGUUGACCCAUGUUACUGUAUCAAUGCUCUUUUAUUUAGUACAUAUUACACAAUUAGUGUGACACAAUCCUAUAUGGCAAUGGGAUCUCUUAUUCAGCACAUUUAUACAGCUUACAAAUAUUACACCUAGUUAUUCAAGAUUUGCAGAUGUAUAUUUAUUAAGUCUUCUUCAGAUGUUGGAUUUCUAUCAAGUUUUAUGAUGACUAGAUGUGGCAUUUUCAGUGCCUCUGCAAUACACUGUACAUUAUAAAUUCAAUCCUUUAACUGGCAAUCCAUUUAUUAAUUUUAUCCAAAGCUGGAUUAAAUUAGAUUUCCGUUUCUUGUGGGGUCAGAUGAUAUUCCAGUUGAUAUUCCUCAAAAACAAACAUUGACCCAAAAGUGGAAUCAAAUUCUUCGACCGAGUCCGUCGAACACUGUCCCCAUUAGACUUCUCAGCUGCCUCAUGACUCACCCAGCAUUGUUUUUAUCUGGCUUUCAUGUCCUGCAAUCAGCAUUACUGCAGGUGACACCCUCGUUCCUCCUUUACUCUCUGCACUGUUAUUUUCUCACAGGCGAUAGGGUAGCCUAGUGGUUCAAGUGUUCGCUCGUCACGCUGAAAACCUGGGUUCGAUUCCCCACAUUCGUACAAUGUGUGAAGCCCAUUUCUGGUUUCCCCUGUUGUGAUGUUGCUGUAAUAUUGCUAAAAGCAUACUCGAUCAAUAUUUCGUCAUAUUUAUAUAAGGGGAGACAACCCCGUCACAUCUCUGUGUGUUUUUAUGAUACGCAAUUUUUAACUGUUGUUGCACGUGUGGUGUAUAAACUGACUCAAGUCUGGUGUAUGAAAGGUGUGAGAAUACAGGAAUAAAGAUUGUGAAGAAGA
rnacentral:misc_RNA from 1 species